rnacentral:rRNA from 1 species
AUUCUUAGAAGUAAGCUCUACUGCCAAAAUACUACAAACUAUGUCCUUCAAACUUAAAGGAUUUGGCGGUAAUCUAGCCCAGUUAGAGGAACCUGUUUCAUAAACGAUACACCACGCAAUAUCUUUCCUAUUCUUACAGCUUGUAUACCAUCAUUGCAAGAUAACUCUCACAAGACUAGUUAUUCCAACAAACUCACACCCCUUUAUAUAUUAGAUCAAGGUGCAGCCAAUGAAUAGGCCGACAAUGGGUUACAAUAAUUCUUAUUUAUACGAACCAUAGGAUGAACAUCUUAUAAGAAGGAGGAUUUAAUAGUAAUACUAGUUUAAUAAGCUAGUUUGAUAGCGGAUCUAGAUUAAGUACAUAUCGCCCGUCGCUUUCACCCCACAAGUGAAAUAAGUCGUAACAUAG